AUGAACGCUAGCUACAGGCUUAACACAUGCAAGUCGAGGGGCAGCAUUUCAGUUUGCUUGCAAACUGGAGAUGGCGACCGGCGCACGGGUGAGUAACACGUAUCCAACCUGCCGAUAACUCGGGGAUAGCCUUUCGAAAGAAAGAUUAAUACCCGAUGGUAUAAUCAGACCGCAUGGUCUUGUUAUUAAAGAAUUUCGGUUAUCGAUGGGGAUGCGUUCCAUUAGGCAGUUGGUGAGGUAACGGCUCACCAAACCUUCGAUGGAUAGGGGUCCUGAGAGGAAGGUCCCCCACAUUGGAACUGAGACACGGUCCAAACUCCUACGGGAGGCAGCAGUGAGGAAUAUUGGUCAAUGGGCGCAGGCCUGAACCAGCCAAGUAGCGUGAAGGAUGACUGCCCUAUGGGUUGUAAACUUCUUUUAUAUGGGAAUAAAGUUUUCCACGUGUGGAAUUUUGUAUGUACCAUAUGAAUAAGGAUCGGCUAACUCCGUGCCAGCAGCCGCGGUAAUACGGAGGAUCCGAGCGUUAUCCGGAUUUAUUGGGUUUAAAGGGAGCGUAGGUGGACAGUUAAGUCAGUUGUGAAAGUUUGCGGCUCAACCGUAAAAUUGCAGUUGAUACUGGCUGUCUUGAGUACAGUAGAGGUGGGCGGAAUUCGUGGUGUAGCGGUGAAAUGCUUAGAUAUCACGAAGAACUCCGAUUGCGAAGGCAGCUCACUGGACUGCAACUGACACUGAUGCUCGAAAGUGUGGGUAUCAAACAGGAUUAGAUACCCUGGUAGUCCACACAGUAAACGAUGAAUACUCGCUGUUUGCGAUAUACAGUAAGCGGCCAAGCGAAAGCAUUAAGUAUUCCACCUGGGGAGUACGCCGGCAACGGUGAAACUCAAAGGAAUUGGCGGGGGCCCGCACAAGCGGAGGAACAUGUGGUUUAAUUCGAUGAUACGCGAGGAACCUUACCCGGGCUUAAAUUGCAUUUGAAUAUAUUGGAAACAGUAUAGCCGUAAGGCAAAUGUGAAGGUGCUGCAUGGUUGUCGUCAGCUCGUGCCGUGAGGUGUCGGCUUAAGUGCCAUAACGAGCGCAACCCUUAUCUUUAGUUACUAACAGGUCAUGCUGAGGACUCUAGAGAGACUGCCGUCGUAAGAUGUGAGGAAGGUGGGGAUGACGUCAAAUCAGCACGGCCCUUACGUCCGGGGCUACACACGUGUUACAAUGGGGGGUACAGAAGGCAGCUACCUGGUGACAGGAUGCUAAUCCCAAAAGCCUCUCUCAGUUCGGAUCGAAGUCUGCAACCCGACUUCGUGAAGCUGGAUUCGCUAGUAAUCGCGCAUCAGCCAUGGCGCGGUGAAUACGUUCCCGGGCCUUGUACACACCGCCCGUCAAGCCAUGAAAGCCGGGGGUACCUGAAGUACGUAACCGCAAGGAGCGUCCUAGGGUA
rnacentral:rRNA from 1 species